UACGUAGGGUGCAAGCGUUAAUCGGAAUUACUGGGCGUAAAGGGUUCGCAGGCGGCCUGGAAAGAAGGGUGUGAAAUCCCAAGGCUCAACCUUGGAACUGCAUCCUUAACUAACAAGCUAGAGUGUACCAGAGGGAAGUAGAAUUCCGCGUGUAGCAGUGAAAUGCGUAGAGAUGCGGAGGAAUACCGAUGGCGAAGGCAGCUUCCUGGGGUAGCACUGACGCUCAGGAACGAAAGCGUGGGGAGCAAACAGG
rnacentral:rRNA from 1 species